rnacentral:rRNA from 1 species
UACUAGAGUAGCACUCGCAUAUCAAUAAGCGGAGGAAAAGAAACUAACAAGGAUUCCCCUAGUAACGGCGAGUGAAGCGGGAAGAGCUCAAAUUUGAAAUCUUAAAGGGUUUCCCUUUACGAAUUGUAGUUUAAAGAAGUGUUUUCUGUUGAGGUUUUGGUAAAAGUUCUUUGGAAUAGGACAUCAUAGAGGGUGAGAAUCCCGUAUUUGACCUUUACUUUCAACUUUGUGAUACACUUUCAAAGAGUCGGAUUGUUUGGGAAUGCAGUCCAAAAUGGGUGGUAAAUUUCAUCUAAAGCUAAAUAUUGGCGAGAGACCGAUAGCGAACAAGUACCGUGAGGGAAAGAUGAAAAGAACUUUGAAAAGAGAGUUAAACAGUACGUGAAAUUGUCAAAAGGGAAGCGUUUGACACCAGUGUUGUUUUUCUGAAAAUCAAUUAAAGAACUGUUUAUGCUAAGUUGUUUAGACUUUAUCAGCUAACUGUUUAGUUUUGAGCUUUUCUUUAAUGCACUUUUCAGUUAACAAGUCAACAUCAAUUUCUUUUGCUGUAAAAAAGCUUGAGGAAGGUGGCUUGAGAUUCGUCUUAAGUGUUUAUAGCCUCUUGCCUAUGCAGUCGGAGAGAUUGAGGUCUGCAGCGUAGAUCCUUCGGGGCUAAAUGCAUUUGUGCUAAGUUAUAGCAUUUUAUAGACAACUUGUUGACUAUGAUUUGUCUUGUAGCUUACUCGCUUAUGUUAUUUUACCUACGCUUAGGAUGUUGAUCUCUCACAGUCGAGC